rnacentral:piRNA from 1 species
UAAUAACUACAUGGUCCCCGAGAGUA